rnacentral:rRNA from 1 species
CAGUGGGGAAUAUUGGACAAUGGGGGCAACCCUGAUCCAGCAAUGCCGCGUGUGUGAAGAAGGCCUGCGGGUUGUAAAGCACUUUCAGUGGGGAGGAAAAGCCUGGGGCUAAUAUCCCUGGGUCUUGACGUUACCCACAGAAGAAGCACCGGCUAACUCCGUGCCAGCAGCCGCGGUAAUACGGAGGGUGCGAGCGUUAAUCGGAAUUACUGGGCGUAAAGCGCGCGUAGGCGGCUGACUAAGUCGGGUGUGAAAGCCCCGGGCUCAACCUGGGAAUUGCAUUCGAUACUGGUUGGCUGGAGUCUGGUAGAGGGGUGUGGAAUUCCAGGUGUAGCGGUGAAAUGCGUAGAUAUCUGGAGGAACAUCAGUGGCGAAGGCGGCACCCUGGACCAAGACUGACGCUGAGGUGCGAAAGCGUGGGUAGCAAACAGGAUUAGAUACCCUGGUAGU